rnacentral:tRNA from 1 species
ACCUGGCUGGCUCAGUCAGUAGAGCAUGUGACUCUUGAUCUUGGGGUUAUGGGUUCGAGUCCCAUAUCAAGUG